rnacentral:rRNA from 1 species
AGAGUUUGAUCCUGGCUCAGGAUGAACGCUGGCGGCGUGCUUAACACAUGCAAGUCGAACGAAGCACUUAAGACGGAUUACUUCGGUUUGAAGUCUUAUUUGACUGAGUGGCGGACGGGUGAGUAACGCGUGGGUAACCUGCCUCAUACAGGGGGAUAACAGUUAGAAAUGACUGCUAAUACCGCAUAAGCGCACGGUCUCGCAUGGGACGGUGUGAAAAACUCCGGUGGUAUGAGAUGGACCCGCGUCUGAUUAGCUGGUUGGUGAGUAAGGGCUCACCAAGGCGACGAUCAGUAGCCGGCCUGAGAGGGUGAACGGCCACAUUGGGACUGAGACACGGCCCAAACUCCUACGGGAGGCAGCAGUGGGGAAUAUUGCACAAUGGGGGAAACCCUGAUGCAGCAACGCCGCGUGAAGGAAGAAGUAUUUCGGUAUGUAAACUUCUAUCAGCAGGGAAGAAAAUGACGGUACCUGACUAAGAAGCCCCGGCUAACUACGUG